GAUGAAGAACGUAGCGAAAUGCGAUAAGUAGUGUGAAUUGCAGAAUUCAGUGAAUCAUCGAAUGUUUGAACGCACAUUGCGCCCCUUGGUAUUCCAUGGGGCAUGCCUGUUCGAGCGUCAUUUGUACCUUCAAGCCUUGCUUGGUGUUGGGUGUUUGUCUCGCCUCUGCGCGCAGACUCGCCUCAAAACAAUUGGCAGCCGGCGUAUUGAUUUCGGAGCGCAGUACAUCUCGCGCUUUGCACUCAGAACGACGACGUCCAAAAGUACAUUUUUACACUCUUGACCUCGGAUCAGGUAGGGAUACCCGCUGAACUUAAGCAUAUCAAUAAGCGGAGGA
rnacentral:misc_RNA from 1 species